rnacentral:rRNA from 1 species
GAUGAACGCUGGCGGCGUGCCUAAUACAUGCAAGUCGAGCGAACAGAUGCAGAUCUUGCUCCUCUGUCGUGGGCAACGGACGGGUGACACAUACGUAAAUUACCUUUCUCUAUGACUUGGGUAAGUGAGGGUAGCCGUAGUUAAGGCCAGGUAAGAUAUUCAAACGGAUGGUUCUAGAGUGAAUGACCGUUUUUCUUUCCCUUAUAGAUGUAUCCGCUCCGCAUUAGCUAGUUGGUUAGGUAACGUCGUACCGAGGCACCGAUGCGUAGCCGACGUGAGAGAGGGAUAGGCGACACUGGAACUGAGACACGGUCCAGGCUCCUACGGGAGGCAGCAGUAGGGAAUCUUACGCAAUGGGCGAAAGCAUGACGGAGCAACGCAGAGUGAGUGAUGAAGGUCUUCGGAUAGUAAAACUCGGUUAUUAGGGAAGAACAAAUGUGAAAGUAAAUAUGCACGUAUUGACGGUACCUACAGAGAAAGCAACGGCUAACUACGUG